rnacentral:lncRNA from 1 species
ACUCUCAAACUAUUAUCUCUGGUUUUGUGUGUUACAGGUAAUGAAUUAGUUUAAUUUUCAACUUCUAGACCUCCAGUAUUACAUUGCUUUAUCAUACGUUACCGGGAUCCUAAAAAACAAAUACAUAUACAAAAACAGAAAAUAAACAUCACCUCCACAAGUGGUUACUGUGCAUUAAUCCAGAAUGGGUGGUGAUCGGGAUGAGUUGGGGGGUGGGGUUCAGCACCUAUUAGAAAGACUGCAACUACUCUUGUGGUCUAAUGGAACAUAGGUUUUUCUUUAGGAGAGAUUAAUCGGGAGUGAGGUCUGCCUAAACCUGAGAUGAGAAGAAUUUGUCUCCUGAGAAUAAUGAUGGAUAUCCCUCAAGAAUUGAAGAUGGGCCAGGGUACACAGAAUGAUUACAUUUGUUCCUUGCUGUUAGGAGGAACAAGCAGAAGUUCCAUAUGCCACCUUCUUCUGCUACUGCAGCAACAAGUGAUAUUCGAGACAGUGAAGCCCCCAUCAAUUCUAGACUGAUAUGGAGCAGAGACGACCUCCUAUACACACUCCCACUACUGACCCAUGGUGGACAAGAAACCAGAAAUUUCAUUAUGUUAAGCUUCUGAGAUAUUUCUGUUUUUUCCACUGAACAUUAUUCUAAUUUAUGUGAUAUAUUUGAUUUUAGAGCUAACUUGUUCUAAAGCUUACAGUCUUUUGCUGGGCAGGGUAGCAGUUCCAGCCACU